CGGGUUGUCACGCCAGUGGCAUUGCCCGGUAGCUAUGUUCGGACAGGAUAACCGCUGAAAGCAUCUAAGCGGGAAGCCUCCUCCAAGAUCAGAUUUCCCUGGACCCUCGAGGUCCCUAAAGGGCCGUCUUAGACCAAGACGUUGAUAGGCCGGGUGUGUAAGCGCUGCGAGGCGUUGAGCUAACCGGUACUAAUUGCCCGUGAGGCUUGACCAUAUAAUAGA
rnacentral:rRNA from 1 species